GUCACAGCAGGAAUGACAAUGAAAUAGCUUCAGGUUCAGGGAAGAAUGAGAGGAAACUUGAGUCAAGAUGAAGGAACUGUUGACAAGCUGAUUCCUUUAAUAUGUGUGAGAAUGUUGACCCAUGAUUCUACAUUAAGGAGCCUUCUGAGCUAAGACAUAAUAUACAAACACACACAAAAAGAGAUACUUUAAACUUGGGAUGGAUAAGUUGCUAAGAUUUCAAUUUGCAUUAUUUCUGCUUCCUUGACUCUUAGCAAAAAAAUUUAAAAAAGCUAUUGUUUCUCUUGCAGAACUUCUUGGUUCUCCUCUCUGUCUCUGUCUGUCUCGCUGUCUCUCUCCAUCUCUGCUCUGGCUCUCUCUCUCUCUCUCUCUCUCUCUCUCUCUCUCUCUCUCUCUCUCUCUCUCUCACACACACACACACACACACACGGAGGACUCUAAUCAAACUGUGGUUUCUGCGUUUAUUUUUCAGGGACUGUGUACCUCAAGGCAACUUGAGAUCUUCCUCUUACUACCAUUUUCUGUCCUCUAUCUGAUGACUUUGGUAGAUAACCUCUUUGUAGUGAUAUUGAUCAUCACUGAUCAUCAUUUCAAUUCUCCCAUGUACUUUCUGUCAGCUAAUCUAUCAUUUGUUGACUUCUACCUUUCCUCAGUAAAUACACCCAAACUGACCAUAGAUCUCCUAAAAGAAAAUAAAACAAUUUCCUUUGGGGGCUGCAUGAGCCAGAUCCUCUGUGUGCAUUUCUUUGGAGGAAGUGAGAUGGUGCUUCUUGUAACAAUGGCCUAUGACCAGUAUGUGGCCAUCUGCAGGCCACUCCACUGCAGCGGCAGCAUGGACAGACAGAAGUGCAUCUGGCUCGUUGUGAUAUCAUGGAUUGUUGGAUUUGUGCAUGCCAUUAGUCAGUUGCUCUUGAUUUUGGAUCUACCUUUCUGUGGACCUAGAGUGAUAGACAGCUUUUUCUGUAAUAUUCCUUUGGUGAUGAAAUUAGCCUGCAUGAAUACUGAUACUCUGGGAAUCCUAAUAAAUGCUGACAGUGGCAUUUUAGCAACGUAUUCUUUCACUCUCUUACUGAUAUCUUAUACUUAUAUUCUAUUAACUGUUCAACAUCACUCUAAAGAUGGCUCAUUAAAAGCACUAUCCACAUGCACGUCCCAUAUCAUAGUGGUUCUGCUGUUCUUUGGGCCCAUCAUUUUUAUCUAUCUGUGGCCAAUAAACAUCACUUGGGUGGACAAGUUUCUUGCUGUGUUUUAUACAGUCAUCACACCUCUCCUGAAUCCAGCAAUCUAUACACUGAGAAAUAAAGAUAUUAAAAAUGCUAUAAAAAACUGACAAAUCACAUGUGAAUUCAGAAUGAUUUUUAUACUUUUCAUGAAAUUAGAAAUUUUGUUUUUCUGUACCCAUUUAGACUCAUCUUGACUUGAAAUUGAAU
rnacentral:lncRNA from 1 species